ensembl:lncRNA
CUCAGCCUCGCCAUUCUAACUUUGCCUCGAAAUAUCUCAACCUGAGCUGUCCCUCUGAUGGACUCAUUUCUAAUCCUAUCCAUCAUGCUCACUCCCGCCUCUUACCUUCCCUUUCCUUCUUGCUGCUAUCCUUUAGCCAUCUCCACCCACUCCACCCUGCCUACGUUCCCUUAUUCACGUCUCUUGUGCACUGUCUGUUGCUUUGGAUUAUCUCAGGCUUUUAAACGUAUUCAAAUUAUUCACUACCUGUGCUCUUUGCUGGUACAUCUGUCUCCCUCUCAUGUAUUCUGUCUUGCUUCUACGGACCUUCAACUAGUUUUAUUCACUCAAACACAGGGCGAGGGAGUGAGCGUGGUAAGCUGUGAACAGAGGGAGAGUGUGGUUAGAGAUGAUGCAGGGGGAGCUAGACUGGAGAGGUGAUAUUGGAGUCUUACUUGGCAGGUGAAGCGUAAAAGGCUCUGGGGCAGGUGAAUAGCCAGGUGAGCUCCUAGAGUGCUGAGCAAGUGAGAAGAUUCCAUCCUUGUUUUUCCAGAGAUCCACAAGAGACGGUGUCAGGAGGACAUGCAGGUGGAAAUGGUGAAUGGUGUGAACCUGAGAGGUGAAGAAUCAGCAACAAAACCAGAGCCCUGCUGUGGACACCAGCAUUCAGAGGAUCUUGAGCUGCAGUCCAUUGAAGUCUGCUCCAAUCAUCACUGACCACUCCCCCUUAGAAUAUAUAGGCUUGUGGGCCCUCCAUGGCUGGGAAUAUCGGGAAAAACACUUGGAACACACAGCGCAACACAACAAGGAACACAUCCAAACAGAGGCUUUUAAGAUACAGCAUGACCUAAACAGGGAAAUGAGACAAAAGCAUUAAAUAGGGAGUGCUGAGGGAACAGAAUAAAAAUGCAACUGCAAUAGGAAACAACAUACAAAACUCAAACAAUAAACUAGAGAACUUCUGGGAAAGUAUAAAAAAGCAAGGAAUACAAACAGCCUCAUAUAUAAAAAAGUUUUCAGUUUCAUUCAACUUUAUUUACACAGCGCCAAAUCACAACAACAGUCGCUUCAAGGUGCUUUAUAUUGUACAGUAAACCCUACAAUAACACAUACUGAGAAAAACCCAACAAUCAUAUGACCCCCUAUGAGCAGCACUUUGGCAACAGUGGGAAGGAAAAACUCCCUUUUAACAGGAAGAAACCUCCAGCAGAACCAGGCUCAGGGAGGGGCGGGGCCAUCUGCUGUGAUUGGUUGGGGUGAGAGAAGGAAGACAGGAUAAAGACAUGCUGUGGAAGAGAGACAGAGGUUAAUAACGGAUAUGAUUCAAUGCAGAGAGGUCUAUUAAUACAUAGUGAGUGAGAAAGGUGACUGGAAAGGAAAAACUCAAUGCAUCAUGGGAAUCCUCGGCAGCCUACGUCUAUUGCAGCAUAACUAAGGGAGGAUUCAGGGUCACCUGGUCCAGCCCUAACUAUAUGCUUUAGCAAAAAGGAAAGUUUGAAGCCUAAUCUUAAAAGCAGAAAAGAGCUGAGGAAAGCCCCAGGCCCCGCCAAGCAGCCCCCGGGAGUGAGCCAGUACAAACCCGAACAUCCAGCCCUGGACACCGAGAACCAUCAAUGCACCAACGGGUGAGGGCAUCUGAUUAUUUAAGACCUUGUAUGUGAGUAGCAGGAUUUUGAAUUCUGGAUUUAACAGGAAGCCAAAACAGGAGAAAUCUGCUCUCUCUUUCUAGUCCCUGUCAGGAAGACAGGAACAAAGCAGUCUUACAUAUUUGUUUAAUAUGUGCGUUGAAGGACAUGUCCUGGUCAACAAUGACUCCAAGGUUCCUCACAGCGUUACUGGAGGCCAAGGUAAUGCCAUCCAGAGUAAGAAUCUGCUUAGAUACCAUAUUUCUAGGCUUUUCAGGGCCGAGUACAAUAACCUCAGUUUGAUCUGAAUUAAGAAGCAGAAAGUUAGCGGCCAUCCAGGUCUUUAUGUCUUUAAGACAUUCCUGCAGUUUAACUCAUUGGUGUGUGUUAUCUGGCUUCAUGGACAGAUAGAGCUGGGUGUCAUCUGCAUAGCAGUGUAAAUGUAUGCUAUGUCUUCUAAUGAUGCUGCCUAAGGGAAGCAUGUAUAAUGUAAACAGAAUUGGUCCUAGCACUGAACCCUGUGGAACUCCAAAAAAGAAACAUAUCAAUUUGCAGCCCCUGUUUCUUUCAGUCAAAACUAAAAUGGAGCAUGACUGCAAGAGACACAUCAAGAAAAUAUCAAGGCGCCUUCUCAGGAAAUACAAACUGGAUAUAGAUAUUUGUGUGUGUGUGUGUGUGAGAGAGAGGGUGAGAGAACGAGACCCCUAAAGCCCUGCUAGCAUGGGUAAAUCCCUGCAGUCAGGAAACUGCUGCUCUGUCAGUUCACAGCACUAAGCCUUGCAGAGCCAUUAGUGCUCACAGUCACAGUGUGUGUCCAAACCAGCACACACACACACACACACACACACACACACACACACACACACACACACACACACACACACACACACACACACACACAUAUCUCAUGGUGCAUUCUCAUCAAUAAAAAGCUUCACUUUGCAUUAGUUCUGUUUCUGUUACCAAAUACUCACAUUACUAAUUACAGCACAAAAACCAAUGAGGUUACUUUUUAAAGAUAACAAAAUGUAAAAACAGAACAACAAAUGCAGCUGGAGUCCUAAUGCAAACAUGCGUUAUCAGUGGUUCUCCCCUGAGUCACCCUGCAGUCUAAAGGCCUACAGACCUACUCACCAACCAAACACAGGGUCACCAAACAAAGCAGCAUCAACAAUGAGGUGCUCGCUUUGUAAUGCAUGCUGUGAGUAACUCGCUCUCGCAGGUUUAAUCCAUAUCAAUACUGAGUUUCUGUGUCUUACUAUUAAUUUGUGAAAUAAACAAGCUUUGUUAAAUAAAUCUGUACAAUUCUUUUUGUAAGACUAGCUCAUUAAGUUUUAUUUGAUGCUGCACGAGGGCAGGCCUGCAAAUCUCACUGCUCUUUUUCCAACUCUGGGGACAGACAGAAGGAAGAAAUCUUGGAACCAAAGACAAAACUUCCCACACGUUUUAAAGAGCCAGCAGGUAGAAUGGGAGCAGAGCAGGAGCAUCCUUAUAAUAAGAAAGUACCAGUGACCAAGUCUAUGAAAUGACAAAGCAGAACAUCCAUACAUCUUUUAAUGGUAAAUGGACUGACUCUUAUGCAGCACCUUUCUACUCUCCAGGAGAAAUCAAAGUGCUUUACACAACAAGCCUCGCUCAUACAAGCACGCUGCACGCUGAUCAGGUGUGAAAGCUGCGCUCUCUCUGGGAUUUUACUCACCAUGGGGCUUUUUGGACGCUUCAUCAAUGUUUCUUUUUUGUUACAAUGUCUUAUAUUUUAGAGUGAUUUCAUUAAAUGUUGCCAUUGUUGUGCUUUAAGUUGUAAGCCUUGUCCUAAACAGCAUGAUCGAAGACAUUCCCUUGUUUCUGUUCCCCUCCCCAGCAUGUCAGAUGGUAUAGUGAUGUUUAACUUCCUGCCCUUUAUGACCUCAACUGUGCUACUCGUUCUUGAGUGAGUGUCUGUUUAUCCAGCAGUUUCAGGAAUAUCUCUCUGACAUUAAACUGCACUGACCAUGUCUCCCAGUACGAGUCUUUAACAGAGUAAUGAAUGACUUUGCCUUUGUAGGUUUGAUGUGGCACAAUAGAGCUUCUAAUUUUCAGUAAAUUCUCUGUAGAAAUAACUUUGGAACUGUUAUUAGGAUAGUAUGCAACUAUAAAAAUGGACAGUAGACACACGUAUUUGAUGGGCUGUCA